GGGUAGUGCUGCUACAGCUCUGUGUCCUCCUGGGCAAGAGCAAAAAAAAGUGCACACACAGUUUGGUCUUAAGAGCCCAGCUUCCAGCUUCUAUCACUGCAGCCAAAGGAUUGGAUUGUUGUAAAGGAUUGUAGCAGCUGAGAGCAAACAGACUCCAGACUGAGAACACCCACUGUGGGACUGUGUUACUCCACAGGACAACCUAUGGGUUCCAGGUCUCCUCAGGCCCCC